GUCGAUGGCAACAGAAGCAGUGAAGGUGCUGUGAUAAAUGGACAAAGCUUUGGUGCUUGUGAAUUUGAAAAUCCUCAAUGUUUGGCAAAUCAUGAUUCGGGAUCAAAAGAACUACCUGGGUGUGGAGUAGGGAAUGCAGUUUCAAAUGAUAUUUCUUCAGGCAAGAAGAAAGGAGGAAGUCGUAAAGAGACAUGGGCCUGAUGAACAGAUCAAUCGGUGUCAACAUCCUCAUCCCAUCCGUGCCUGGGGGUUGGUGCAUACUGUGAUCAAUAAGUGUAUU
rnacentral:misc_RNA from 1 species